CUCAUAUGUUGCAGAAAUUGUAAAAGAUUAUUGAACAAUUCUAAAGUUACAAGAACAAAGUUUUUUUCUUUUUCUUUGUUUUUUUAGCUUGGUUCCGGAGAAAUACUCUGUAUAUGAAAGUGGUACCACAAUGUACAAUUAGGUCAUAAAUUAAGGGGAAUUUGAUCCAAUACCCACCAAACUAGGUGGGUAAUGAAAUAUACCCCUUGCGUCUCAAUGCUUUUUUUCAUAUGCCCACCUAUUCCUAAUUUACCCUUAAUGAAAAUAAAAAAUUACCCCUGUUCUUUUGGAGUCCAAGCCGCCGGAAGAGAUCCCCGUACCUCUAUCCCUUGCUGCAAAUUAAGGACGUUCGAGCCCUCUGUGCAGACCCACAAUAACUGCUACCCACAACUUCAUUGAAGAGAUAGACCACAAUCUUCCAUCGAGUUUCGAUUCACCAACGUUCGUUUCUGUGCCUGGUCAACACGCCCGCUCUCCUCAACCCAUCCCCCAGUGCCGAAAACCUGAACCUCCACUCGUCUCUCCUCCUUGGAGAACUCUCCGAUAGCUGCGUAGCCAUUCUCUCACUUUUUUUUUCCUCUUUUCUUCGUGCUUUGUUAAGGGAAAAAUGAAAUAGCUUUUCAAUGUGUAUAUUUCGUUUUGAUAUUUGAAAAGGUAACUUAGAAAUAUUAAAAAUUAAAAAGGUAAAACAAAAAAAUUAAAAAAAGAUGGGUAGAUUUCAUUGAGGGUUUUCCAAAAAGGAUAUUGGGCCGAAUUUUCUAUAAAUUAAGGGAAAUUUAGUUCAAUACCAUUAUUUGAAACGUGUUAAUAAAAUCUAUCCAUUUUGAUUGAAUUUUUUUUGUUUUACUCUUUCAUUUCAUAUAUUUCCAAAUUAUCCUUUUCAAAUAUCAAAAAGGAAAAAUCAAACUCUAAACGGAGCAUGACGAAGAAGGAGAGGAAGAGAAAGUGAGAAAGAAUGGCAAAACGGCUUGGGAUGACCAAAGAGUUCUUCAAGAGGAGGGACGGAAGUCAAUAAUCAUGGUUUAGAUGGUUUCUUCCUUGUCGAAUCUAAGAUAAAAGUGUAGGGAUUCAAGCGUGGAACUGAAAGCCUAUCUAGGAAUUUGCAGGUGAUGUAUGCUUUGUCGCUGGACAAGUCAAAUCUGGCUGUUUCAAAAUAUCAGGCUGAGUGCAUGAAUGCUAAAGGAUUAGCAGAACCAAACCAUCAAACUCCAAAGAAGGAUCACAAUGAUAACUAGUGUACCUGCUGGAAGUGGCAAACUGAACUAUGGAGUGAGUGACUCCAAGGAAAAAUGUUGUAGAAGAUCUUCAUGGAUCACCAGCAUGACUUUUAGCAUAUGCAUACAGAAACAAAUUUCAUGAUAUGCUAAGGAUCUUAGUACUAAAAACAGUUUACAUGUACUAAAUCUUACUAGCUGGGGGUAUGUUAUAGCUUUAAUCUUAAGCUGGAUGUGUAUUUAGUUUAUCCACUUAAUCAUGCUAUAUAACAACUAUGCAAUGUUCUAUACAUGUUAUUAGUAGUCCUCUUGGUGACGGUGUGCUUUUAUAUUUUGCUUAUGCUAUCUUAGUAGUCCGUUGGAAAAAAUAUUAACAUAGAUGCAUUGAAGAAAUGUAUUAGUACAGUACAAUGGUCUCAUAUAUAUUAUGAAAUAAUUGCAAUAACAAUUAUGGAUAGGAUUGCCUAAAGGUGAUAUAUAAACCUAUUCUUUCAUCUUGUAUUUUAAUUGGUAAAAAAGUAAAUUUAUGUCCCUGUUUUUUAUUUCUUUCAUGCACAGACUAUAUAUAUAUGUAUAUAUUACAUGCAUCGGUAACAAUGAGUUAUAAUGUUUUUUCAAAGGAUAACUCAUGGGC